GAGCUGGAGACUAGAACUGUUCCUAUUUGGCCAUCUUGCUCCGCCCCCGCCCCCCUUUUGAGUAAUUUAUGAAUAAUGGUGUUGCUUAUUAGGGGUCAAGUUCAUUGAAGAAUAGUGACCUAUCAAAGUUUCAGUGUUCUUCUCAUCUUUGGUCCAGAAUUACUUUUAUUCUUUUAUACACAUAGUGGUCACCAAUUGCACAAACAAUUAAAGUGGGAAAAAAAAAAAAGAAUCCAUCAUAUUGAUCAUUGUUGUGUUUUCUGCUAAUAGGAGGAAAAAUAGUAGGAAAUAAAAAAAUAUAAAAUAUUAUCAGACUCUCAUUGACAAUGCAUCUUUAGCCCUCGUGUUCUCCCUUCCUCCAAAAGUCACAUUCCCUGCACUCUUGCCCCAAAAUGAUACCCUUAUAAGAAUAAACCAGAGAAUGUGCAGGUUAGAGGAGAUUAUAUGUUGAUUGUUUACAUACAUCAGUGACAUUGGGGAUAGAGGUGACUGCUAAGUAGAGCUACCAUCUGCUCUCUGGACAAGCACCAUUUCCCAUUCCAUUUGUAAGAGGCACCUGUUCAAGUAACUGCCUUAUUACCACUGCUAUGUCAAAACUGUAAUGCUGUUUUGAUUUUCUUUAUAGUUUGAUGUGCUUUAAAUGAUAUAUAUAUGUCAUUUAUAUGUAUAUAUACCUUUGAAUGUUACAGGCUUUGCUCUCUGUACAUAAUACUGUGGCUCAGAAGAAUUAUGACCCUGUGUUGCCUCCUAUGCCUGAAGAUACUGACAAUGAGGAAGACUCAGUAAAAAUAAUUUGUCUGGUCAAAAAUAGAGAACCACCAAUUCCCUAAGAUGAACCUGUCUGAUUCUCUUCAUUCUGCUGUCUGCUUCUGGACAACAAUGGGGCUUGAUUCUGCAGUAGAUCCUGUCCAGAUGAAAAAUGUCACCUUCGAACAUGUUAAAGGUACAGUGUCUGGCUCUGUCACCCAGGGUGAAGUGCAUUGGUGUGA